rnacentral:rRNA from 1 species
UACGGGGGGGGCAAGCGUUGUUCGGAAUUACUGGGCGUAAAGGGCUCGUAGGUGGCCAACUAAGUCAGACGUGAAAUCCCUCGGCUUAACCGGGGAACUGCGUCUGAUACUGGAUGGCUUGAGUUUGGGAGAGGGAUGCGGAAUUCCAGGUGUAGCGGUGAAAUGCGUAGAUAUGACUCGGAAGGCCAACGGCGAAGGCAGGUUACUGGUACGCAACUGACGCUGAGGCACGAAAGCGUGGGGAGCAAACAGG